UACGUAGGGAGCAAGCGUUGUCCGGAAUCAUUGGGCGUAAAGCGCGCGUAGGUGGCCUCAUAAGUCCGCUGUGAAAGUCAAAGGCUCAACCUUUGAAAGCCGGUGGAUACUGUGGGGCUAGAGUACGGAAGAGGCGAGUGGAAUUCCUGGUGUAGCGGUGGAAUGCGCAGAUAUCAGGAAGAACACCAAUGGCGAAAGCAGCUUUCUGGGACGGUACUGACGCUGAGACGCGAAAGCGUGGGGAGCGAACAGG
rnacentral:rRNA from 1 species